AACGAACGCUGGCGGCAUGCCUAACACAUGCAAGUCGAACGAAGGCUUCGGCCUUAGUGGCGCACGGGUGUGUCACGCGUGGGAAUCUGAACUUUUGUUCGGCAUAACAGCUGGAAACGGCUGCUAAUACGGGAUGAUGACGAAAAUCCAAAGAUUUAUCGACAGAGGAGGAGCGCGCGUGGGAUUCGGUAGUUGGUGCGGUUAUGGCCUACCACGCCGUCGAUUCAUAGCUGGUUAGAGAGGCUGAUUAGCCACACUGGGACUGAGACGCGGCCGAGAAUCCUACGGGAGGCGGCAGUGGGUGAUAGUGGACCGCGGGGGGAGGGCUGAUCCAGCAAUGAUGGGAGAGCGAUGAAGGCCGUAGGGUUGUAAAGCGCUAUUACCCGGGAAGAUAAUGACGGUACCGGGAGAAAAAGCCCCGGCUAACUCCGUG
rnacentral:rRNA from 1 species